GAUGAACGCUGGCGGCGUGCCUAAUACAUGCAAGUCGAACGAACGGACGAGAACCUUGCUUGUCUGAGGUUAGCGGUGGAGGGGUGAGUAGCACGUGGAUAACCAACCGAUAAGACUGGGAUAACAACGGGAAACCGGAGCUAAUAACGCAGGAUAUUAUGAACCGCAUGGUUAAAAAGUGAAGGACGGUCAUGCUGUCACUGAUAGAUGGACCCGCGGUGCAUUAGCUAGUUGGUAAGGUAACGGCUUACCAAGGCAACGAUGAAUAGCCGACCUGAGAGGUUGAUGGGCCACAAUGGAACUGCGACACGGCCCACACUCCUACGGGAGGCAGCAGUAGGGAAUCUUCCGCAAUGGGCGAAAGCCUGCUGGAGCAACGCCGCGUGGGUGAUGAUGGUCUUCUGAUCGUAAAACUCUGUUAUUAGCGAAGAACAUAUGUGUCAGUAACUGUGCACGUCUUGACGGUACCUAAUCAGAAAGCCACGGCUAACUACGUG
rnacentral:rRNA from 1 species